rnacentral:rRNA from 1 species
UAAGGAAUAUUGGUCAAUGGACGCAAGUCUGAACCAGCCAUGCCGCGUGGAGGAUGAAGGCCCUCUGGGUUGUAAACUUCUUUUAUAUGGGACGAAAAAGGGCCUUUCUAGAUCAACUGACGGUACCAUGUGAAUAAGCACCGGCUAACUCCGUGCCAGCAGCCGCGGUAAUACGGAGGGUGCAAGCGUUAUCCGGAUUCACUGGGUUUAAAGGGUGCGUAGGUGGGUUAGUAAGUCAGUGGUGAAAUCUUCGAGCUUAACUCGGAAACUGCCAUUGAUACUAUUAGUCUUGAAUAUUGUGGAGGUUAGCGGAAUAUGUCAUGUAGCGGUGAAAUGCUUAGAUAUGACAUAGAACACCAAUUGCGAAGGCAGCUGGCUACACAUAUAUUGACACUGAGGCACGAGAGCGUGGGGAUCAAACA